CAGGCAGGGAGUAGGAGGGAGAAAGUCUGAACACUGGCUAGAAGCGGCCCUUCUGCUCCCACAGGCACAGCCACAGUACAGCACGGAACAAAUGAUUCAAACUCUGCUCCACAGCCUUCACCUGUGAACCCCGAUGUGUGCGGUGGAAACCGCUCCAAUGCUACCCGCCCUCGUAUCUCAGGUAAAAAUCAAAGAUGCAGGAAGUCUGACUACUUUUACGGGGGAAAGCACUCUCCCAAAAUGAUAAGAAGAACAGAAGAAAACAAAAACCAAGAUAUUUUUAAUGGACAGUUAAGCCAUAGGAUAAAGCUCUGCUCUUGGAAGCUGGCAUGGCGCCUGGCUCCUCCAAAUGGCCGCAGAAACGUACUACUGUCUACAGAUCCCACAGCAGGAGUGAGAUUCGGAGUUCUACAGUGACCUCGGAAGGUGCCUGGACUGGAGACACUCAAGGAAUGCAUUUGCCGACUCGCUCUGCCACGUUUCAUGUACCUGUGUAAUUAAGUACUGACGUUUCUACGGG
ensembl:lncRNA LOC108352413 uncharacterized LOC108352413